rnacentral:rRNA from 1 species
CUGACGUUAGCGGCGGACGGGUGAGUAACACGUGGGCAACCUGCCCUAUAGUUGGGGAUAACUCCGGGAAACCGGGGCUAAUACCGAAUAAUACAUUCCAUCUCCUGUUGGAAUGUUGAAAGAUGGUUUACGCUAUCGCUAUAGGAUGGGCCCGCGGCGCAUUAGCUAGUUGGUGAGGUAACGGCUCACCAAGGCGACUAUGCGUAGCCGACCUGAGAGGGUGAUCGGCCACACUGGGACUGAGACACGGGCCAGACUCCUACGGGAGGCAGUAGUAGGGAAUCUUCCACAAUGGGCGAAAGCCUGAUGGAGCAACGCCGCGUGAGUGAAGAAGGUUUUCGGAUCGUAAAACUCUGUUGUAAGGGAAGAACAAGUACAGUAGUAACUGGCUGUACCUUGACGGUACCUUAUUAAAAAGCCACGGAUAACUACGUGCCAGCAGCCGCGGUAAUACGUGAGUGGCAAGCGUUGUCCGGAAUUAUUGGGCGUAAAGCGCGCGCAGGUGGUCCUUUAAGUCUGAUGUGAAAGCCCACGGGUCAACCGNGGAGGGUCAUUGGAAACUGGGGGACUUGAGUGCAAAAGAGGAAAGUGGAAUUCCAAGUGUAGCGGUGAAAUGCGUAGAGAUUUGGAGGAACACCAUUG